CCUGAGCAUAGCCACAUGGGCACUGUGGUGAUGGGAAUUCAGGCACCCUUCUUCAAUGCCGGAAUGCUGCCAGGCCUGUUUUCCCUGUGGGUAGCUGGAUCACCAGUGAGCUUCUUGCUUUGCUUAUUCCUCUGUGUAGAUCCAGUAUCUUCUUGUCAGGGGGGAUGACUACCUUAAAUAUUUAGCACAUUUAGUAAACAUACUUUAACUAUAAUACAUUUAAGACCUAAGUAUAGAAAUCAACAGAAUGGAUUCGCAACACAUGGUAUUUACCAGCGAGCAUGGUUUGUCAUAUACCACAAUACCUAGCCAACUAGAUUCCGUGAAAGCAAAGAAAUUGGGUAUCAAAUAGAAAAGACAUAGGAAACGGGAACGCUAUGCUCCCAAUAUGCAAGG
rnacentral:sRNA from 2 species